UCCCAGGCAAGCACGGGCCUGCACGCUCACGUGGAGGCCUGCACGCUCACGGGUGCAGCCACAUGGACACCCGUGUGCUCACGUGCGCAGCCACGCGCGGAUGCCAGCAUGCUCGUGCACAUGCACUCACAUGCAUGCACACGUAUGUGCGUGCCUGCAGGCUCACUUGCACAUGCACAUCUGCAGUUCAUCUGCACACCCAUGCACAUACGUGUGCACUCCUGCACGCUCCUGUGCACUCACGCACGCCUGCACACUCACGUGCACACCCUCACAUGGCCCCACACGUGGAGGCCUGCACGCUCACAGGCACACACAGGUGUGUGCUUGCACACCCACAACACACGCACGCCGGCAUGCUCUCACACGCACUCCGAGGGGUCCGGACGGCUACAGGUGCCAAACCCCACACAGUCACUGGGGGAUACUGCACCGGGGAGGGGGGGCAGCGACAGAGCUGGGCUGCAGCGGGGAGGCAGCGCAGGUGCCGUGGCUGCGGGCGACAGGGAGCAAAGCAGCAGGGCGUCCCGCCCGCUCGGGUCACCGGCUCCUUGGGGAACGUCUCGGCACCGCGGAACUUCUGCUUCAGCAUCUCCAUGUGCUCCAUCAGCCAGCUCCUGGGGACAACGGGGAGGGGGAAGGGGGUGGCUGCGACCCACGGUGCCAGUGCCAGCACUCCCACACACGCCCAGCCACGGCCCCUGGGGAUAGGCCGACCAAUGCACUACCGCAUCGCCCCACUGCAGCUGCCCCACUGCAGCCUGCCCCACGGCAGCCGCCUGUUGCAAACCACCCCGCAGCAACCGCCCCACAGCGGCUGCCUACUGCAGCCAUCUGCAUUAACCUGCACCAUUGCAGCCACCUGUUGCCAACUGCCCCACAGCAAUUACCCUAUUGCAGCCGCCUCAUUGCAGCCACCUGCAUCAACCUUCCCCACUGCAGCUGCCGCCAUUAACCUGCCCCAUCGUGGCCACCUGCAUUUACCCAUCCCACAGCAGCCGCUCGCCACGAGCCCCGUGCCGGCGGUGCCAGCGCCUCACCCAGCCUCGGUGCCCAGCUCGCUGCCGCGCAGCCCGGCGAGGGC
rnacentral:lncRNA from 1 species